CGUUGCGCCUGCGCAGAUAGUGACUGGGUUGACCGUGACUCAAGUGUAGUGUAAUAUUCUUUCAUCAUGAACUACCUCAUCAUCAUUGCGUCUAUUCUCUGCGUAGCUCAGGCAAGACCGGGCCUGAUAUACACUCAACCCUUAGCUGUCGCUGGGAUCGAAUACGCCCACCCGUCCGUACAAACCGUCUCGUCCCAUCCAGCUGUUGAACUGAACGCCGCAAGUGAGGCUUUAUUACCACCAGAAUUGUUAAAAUCGAAUGCGUUUUAUAGUAACCCUUCGAUCGCUGCUGGCUUAGCCAAAGAAUCUUGGUUCACGAAUAAAGAAAUGCAGGUUGUUGAACGAGAAGCCGAAAAAAUACCGAGACAACGUAUCUACGACAUCGUUAAAAAUGCUGGCUUCUUGGACAAACAUUAACACGUGUGAUGGAAAACGUUACUUCGGACUCUCGGCAGCGGCUUAAUUGGAGUUUUAUUGUAUAUUUAUAUGUUGCUUAUGUUAUGAUUAAAAUGAAUAUUUAAACACAUUUAGUCCCACUGAUUCUAAUGUUAUAUGUCUUGACGAUACUUUAGUUGUUUAUAUUUCUCAAAAUAGUUAUGUAUUUUAACAGAGCACUGUAAAUAAUUGCACAAUUUUAACAAUGUCGACAUAAUUUAUUAAAAGUGUGUAGUUUAUUUUUAAGUAUUUAGAAAGUAGGUAAUAAUGCAAUAUAAUAAUUUUGUUACUCGUAGAUUUUAUACUUGAACUGUGAUCUCGAACAAUAAGUGCGUUUGCGUCACAGUCGGCCCCGUAGGCGCUCUUCUUGAAGCUUCUACCGCGCUUGCACGUCACCCAGCAUUCAUGGACCGGCUUUUGUACGAAAUCUGCAAGAAUAUACAUCUUGAAGUCA